UUUCAGACCUCCAUGCGCCGGGACAGAUGAGACUUGUCAUGUGCGACAGCGGGAACAGCUGAUCCCUGCAGAACUGUGCUGGCGCCGACCCAGAUGAGGACGCUCCACUUUAAUCAGGCCCCAGAGGUGGCGGGGACGAUGUUGGCAUGCACGCGGCGCACGGACAAGGAAGGAUCACCGUCUUUCUGAAAUCUGUCACAACAACAACUGCUUCAAAACAACAAACAGUCCAGUUCAGCCUGACCUGAAAAAGCUAACGGGGGAAAAAAAAUGUAACAUCACAUCAGACUACUAAAUAAACGAAAAAGUAUGCUUAAUACCUCCUCAGUGGUUGUGACAUUCAAAAUGUGCUUUUCAUCUGACAAACAAGCCUCAUUGAAAUGCAUAUCUGAA